rnacentral:snoRNA from 1 species
GCGGCAACACUUGCAACAUUGAAUUCGUAAUUGUAAUCGAAUCCAAUGAAGUGAGUGUUGCCAAGAGUAAUCCUUUUCGGAUAAGACCUUCAGACAUAGUUGAGGCGACAUACCCACGCCACGAUUGUAUCACUCAAAGUCUUACAAUU